UACAGAGGUCUCAAGCGUUGUUCGGAUUCAUUGGGCGUAAAGGGUGCGUAGGCGGUGAGGUAAGUUGGAUGUGAAAUCCCGGGGCUCAACCUGGGAAUGGCAAUGGAUACUGGCAGGCUAGAGUGCGGUAGAGGGUAGUGGAAUUCCCGGUGUAGCGGUGAAAUGCGUAGAGAUCGGGAGGAACACCAGUGGCGAAGGCGGCUACCUGGACCAGCACUGACACUGAGGCACGAAAGCGUGGGGAGCAAACAGG
rnacentral:rRNA from 1 species